rnacentral:rRNA from 1 species
AGUUAAGCUACUAAGUGCUUACGGUGGAUGCCUUGGCGUUCAAGUGCCGAUGAAGGACGUGGGACACUGCGAUAAGCCUCGAGGAGCCGUGAACAGGCGUUGAUCCGAGGAUCUCCGAAUAGGGAAACCUACAUUGGGAAACCCAAUGUAUCCUCCAGCUGAAUACAUAGGUUGGAGGAAGGGAACCUAGGGAACUGAAACAUCUUAGUACCUAAGAGGAAAAGAGAAUAUUCCCCUAGUAGUGGCGAGCGAACGGGGAGCAGCCCAAACCGGCCGUGCUUGCAUGGCCGGGGUUGAAGGGCCUGAUCUAUAGAAGUUACAAAUUAUCGCGUUAGUAGAAAGGUGUGAAAAAGCCUACCAAAGAGGGUUAUAGUCCCGUAAACGAAAACGCGCUAACUUCUUUCAGGACCCCUGAGUACAACCAGACACGCUAAUUUGGUUGGAAGCUGGGAAGACCAUUUUCCCAAGGCUAAAUACACUUGAAGACCGAUAGCGAAAUAGUACCGUGAGGGAAAGGUGAAAAGUACCCCGAUGAGGGGAGUGAAAUAGAACCUGAAACCGUGAGCAUAUAAUCUGUCGGAGGACUAUGGUAGGCUGAGCGCAGGCGUAAGUCUGUGGCCGCUAUCACGUCUGACGGCGUGCUUUUUGGAGAACGAGCCUGCGAGUUAAUCUCAGUGGCGAGGUUAAGGGAGUAACACCCGGAGCCGGAGCGAAAGCGAGUCGUCCUAAUAGGGCGCGAGUGGCUGGGAUUAGACACGAAACCAAGUGAGCUACUCAUGACCAGGAUGAAGCGGGUCUAAACACCCGUGGAGGUCCGAACUUUUCAAUAUUGCAAAAUUGUGAGAUGAGUUGUGGGUAGAGGUGAUAUGCCAAUCGAACUUGGAUAUAGCUUGUUCUCUCCGAAAUAGCUUUAGGGUUAGCGUCAUAUAUUGAGUGUUGGAGGUAGAGCCACUGGACGGGCUAAGGGGCUUGUCGCCUACUGAACCUAACCAAACUCCGAAUGCCAACACUUUAGAAUAUGGCAGUUAGACUACGGGAGAUGAGUUUCGUGGUCAAAAGGGAAAGAACCCAGACCAUCGGCUAAGGUCCCCAAGUGUAAACUAAGUGGAAAACGAAGUAAGACUACUGAGACAACCAGGAGGUUGGCUUAGAAGCAGCCAUUCCUUGAAAGAGUGCGUAACAGCUCACUGGUCAAGUGGUCUUGCGCGGAAAAUUUAACGGGGCUAAGUUUACCACCGAAGCCAUGGGUUUCAGUCUUCGGACUGGAGCGGUAGGAGAGCGUUCUGUCAGCAGGGAAGGUCGACCGUGAGGACGGCUGGAGCGGGCAGAAGUGAGAAUGCAGGCAUGAGUAGCGUGAAACAUGUGAGAAUCAUGUUCGUCGAAAACCUAAGGUUUCCGAUGCCAGGUCAAUCCGCAUCGGGUUAGUCGGUCCUUAGUCGAGGCCGGAAGGCGUAGGCGAUGGAUAUCUGGUCAACAUUCCAGAACUAUUCAGAAGGAGCGAUGGGGUGACGCAGGGAGGUAAACCAGCCUACAAUUGGAUGUAGGUGGAAAUGUGUAGGCGUUGACGUCCGCAGGCAAAUCCGUGGACUGAGCCGAGGCAUGAGUGCGAGCCCAAGAGGCGGAAGUGGUUGAUCCUUGCUGCCAAGAAAACCCUCUAAGUGUUGAAUUCUGAAUAUCCGUACCGCAAACCGACACUGGUAGGUAGGUAGAGCAUACCUAGACGAACGAGAGAACCUUCGUUAAGGAACUCGGCAAAUUAACCCCGUAACUUCGGGAGAAGGGGUGCCUUCCAUCGUGAACGUAAAACUACGGGAGCGUAGGAAGGUCGCAGCAAACAGGCUCUGGUGACUGGUUACCAAAACCACAGGUCUCUGCUAAAUCGUAAGAUGAUGUAUAGGGGCUGACACCUGCCCAGUGCCGGAAGGUCACAGGGAAGAGUUAGCGCAAGCGAAGCUCUGAACUAAAGCCCCGGUGAACGGCGGCCGUAACUAUAACGGUCCUAAGGUAGCGAAAUUCCUUGUCGGGUAAGUUCCGACCCGCACGAAAGGUGUAACAAUCAGAGCGCUGUCUCGACGAAGGACUCGGUGAAAUUGAAGUACGCGUAAAGAUGCGCGUUACCCGCAGCAGCACAAAAAGACCCCGUGGAGCUUUACUGCAGGCUGUCAUUGUGUUUGGACAUGGUUUGUGCAGGAUAGGUGGGAGGCUAGGAAACCGGAGCGCCAGCUUCGGUGGAGCCGCCACUGGAAUACCACCCUGAUCAUGUUUAGGCCCUAACUCCAGUCCGUGAUCCGGACUGAGGACAGUGCCAGUUGGGCAGUUUGACUGGGGCGGUCGCCUCCUAAAAAGUAACGGAGGCGCCCAAAGGUUCCCUCAGGUUGAAUGGAAACCAACCGUAGAGUGUAAAAGCAUAAGGGAGCUUGACUGCAAGACCAACGCGUCGAGCAGGGACGAAAGUCGGGUUUAGUGAUCCCAUGAUACCGUGUGGAAGGGUCAUGGCUUACCGGAUAAAAGCUACCCCGGGGAUAACAGACUAGUCUGGUCCAAGAGUUCACAUCGACGACCAGGCUCGGUACCUCGAUGUCGGCUCAUCGCAUCCUGGGGCUGAAUAAGGUCCCAAGGGUUGGGCUGUUCGCCCAUUAAAGCGGUACGUGAGCUGGGUUCAGACCGUCGUGAGACAGGUCGGUCUCUAUGCGCUGUGGGCGUAAGGAAUUUGCGAGGAGCUGCUCCUAGUACGAGAGGACCGGAGUGGACAGACCUCUAGUGUGCCAGUUGUUCCGCCAGGAGCAUCGCUGGGUAGCUACGUCUGGCAGAGAUAACCGCUGAAAGCAUCUAAGCGGGAAACUCGCCUCAAGAUUAGAUUCCUCAUCCCGUUAAGGGAGUAAGACCGCAGGAAGACUACCUGCUAGAUAGGCGGCGUGUGUAAGCACAGCAAUGUGUUGAGCUAAGCCGUACUAAUGGUCGAGGGCUUAAAACG